rnacentral:lncRNA from 1 species
UGCAUAAAUUAAUAUCUUAUUCAUAGCACUUAUCAUUAUUUUAAUUCACAUAUUUUGUAAAUUCAACUAAAAAUUUGUGUUAUCUUCAUCAUUGCAUUAUUAAAAAUAAUUCGAUUUUGCUUGAUUUUAUUGGUCCAUCUAAUGUAUGCAGGUCGAAUCAAAUACAUCUGGGAUGACCCCUGAACCCAAAUCGCAUGCACCCCAUGAAUCGGAUCUUCCCAACCAAUUAGAGUCGACCUCAAUUUUCAUUUCUCAGCACGUGCCAUCCCAAACAAUUUAUUUUCAUGAAUCCAAAUAAGUCUCCCUCCUUCACUCCCCACGUAUCCAAACUUCCCAAUUUCCUUUUCAACACAUGGCCACCCCAAGUCCACGCUACUAUACCAUAACUCCAAUUGCAAGUCAUCUCAGCCGAAUCAUCCCAGCGCCCAAGCCAAGCAUUCCAUCCGCGUGUCCUCCCUCCCGUCCGCAUGAACCUAGCAACAUCAUUCUCCCUUACGCCAUCUCAACUAAUCUCCCAACGUCCACUUCAUCCUCCCGAACUCCACAUCCAUUUCAUCUCCCCGAGUUCACAGCGAUCCUAUCAACGGCUACCAUCCGCAUGAGAUUCCUUCUUCCGGAACGAUCUCACGUUCGUAAUCAUCCGCAUCAUCCUCAUUCAUCUUUGAACUAACUCCCCUGUUUCACACGUCCAGCUUCUCCUCCACGUUCCGGAUUAGAUCACAUCUCCCAGCUUGCACCCAUCCUUAUCCAAGCAAACCUCUCAGCAUCAAAGGAUCACGUUCACGAAUCAAACCAAGUUUCCUCCCGUAUCCAACGAGCAAAACCAAUCCAUCGCGACGGAUUCCUUCCAGCCAUGCUUAUCUUCCACGGAUAAGCGCCCACAUCUUCAGCAGUCCAAAGAACCGUCCCAGCCUCCAUCCCCUGCUCCACAUCACAGCAGAAUCAAGCCUUCAUCCCGUUGUGAUCCAUCUUCAUCCAAGUUCAUCCCCCAAGCAUCCGGAUCAACUCCAUCCUCCUAGCGGAACAGAGUAUCAGCCUAUUCACGCCCAUUCCAGCCGACCGAAUCCAAUGAAUUCCAACUUUCCUCCCAGCAUCUAGAUAUUCCGUUGUCAGCCGAGUCCCAAGCUUCAUCUUAUGGAUCAUCUCCCCGGUUCCCAACCGAAUCGAGUUCAUCUCAUCUCCCAGCUUCAUCUCUUCCGAAUUCCUUUGCGUCCGUCCCAGCACAUCCAUUCGCAUCAGCCGGUAACCACUCCAAAUCCCAGCUCUGCUUCAACCGUCCGCGCUUCAUAGGCCGCAGCAGUCGUGGAUCAGCACCCCAUCUCCUCCCGUCGACUCAACUCUAUCCCAUGAACAGCAUCUGGAUAAGCUCCCAGCUCCCGAAUCCAGCGUCUUCAACAUCCCAUCUUCUCCGGAUUAUUUUCAUUUGUGAUAGCC